rnacentral:rRNA from 1 species
GAUGAACGCUGGCGGCGUGCCUAAUACAUGCAAGUCGAGCGAACGGACGAGAAGCUUGCUUCUCUGAUGUUAGCGGCGGACGGGUGAGUAACACGUGGAUAACCUACCUAUAAGACUGGGAUAACUUCGGGAAACCGGAGCUAAUACCGGAUGAUAUUUUGAACCGCAUGGUUCAAAAGUGAAAGACGGUCUUGCUGUCACUUAUAGAUGGAUCCGCGCUGCAUUAGCUAGUUGGUAAGGUAACGGCUUACCAAGGCAACGAUGCAUAGCCGACCUGAGAGGGUGAUCGGCCACACUGGAACUGAGACACGGUCCAGACUCCUACGGGAGGCAGCAGUAGGGAAUCUUCCGCAAUGGGCGAAAGCCUGACGGAGCAACGCCGCGUGAGUGAUGAAGGUCUUCGGAUCGUAAAACUCUGUUAUUAGGGAAGAACAUAUGUGUAAGUAACUGUGCACAUCUUGACGGUACCUAAUCAGAUAGCCACGGCUAACUACGUG